rnacentral:rRNA from 1 species
GUUUAAGCAUAUCAAUAAGCAGAGGAAAAGAAACUUACGAGGAUUCCCUUAGUAACGGCGAGCGAACCGGGAAUAGCCCAGAAUGAAAAUCGAUCGCCCUUGGCGUUCGAAUUGUAGUCUGAAAAAGUGUCCUCAGCGGCGGACCAGGCCCAAGUCCCUUGGAAGGGGGUGCCAGAGAGGGUGAGAGCCCCGUUGUGCCCGGACCCUGCCGCACCACGAGGCACUGUUGGCGAGUCGGGUUGUUUGGGAAUGCAGCCCUAAUCGGGCGGUAAAUUCCGUCCAAGGCUAAAUAUGGGCGAGAGACCGAUAGCGAACAAGUACCGCGAGGGAAAGAUGAAAAGGACUUUGAAAAGAGAGUCAAAGAGUGCUUGAAAUUGUCGGGAGGGAAGCGAAUGGGGGUCGGCGAUACACCUCGGUCGGAUGUGGAACGGCGAGAGCUGGUCCGCUGAUCGGCUCGUGGUGUGGAUCGAUGUGGAUCACGGCGGCGACCUAAGCCCGGGCUUUUGAUUCGUCCGUGGAAAUGUUGUCGUCGGGAUCGUGGAUAGCAGCGUGCGCCACUAAGGCGUGCCCUCGGCACGUGCACGCUCCUGUCGUCGGCCUGUGGACUCCCCAUUCGACCCGUCUUGAAACACGGACCAAGGAGUCUGACAUGUGUGCGAGUCAACGAGUGACUUAAACUCGUAAGACGAAAGGAAGCUGACUGGCGGGAUCCCUCCUUUUAAACGGGGGGUUGCACCGUCGACCAACCUUGAUCUUCUGAGAAGGGUUUGAGUGAGAGCAUGCCUGUCGGGACCCGAAAGAUGGUGAACUAUGCCUGAGCGGGGUGAAGCCAGAGGAAACUCUGGUGGAGGCCCGAAACGAUACUGACGUGCAAAUCGUUCGUCUGACUUGGGUAUAGGGGCGAAAGACUAAUCGAACCAUCUACACACCAC